GUGAGGAAUAUUGCGCAAUGGAGGCAACUCUGACGCAGCCAUGCCGCGUGCAGGAAGAAGGCGCUACGCGUUGUAAACUGCUUUUAACCGGGAAGAAACCCCAGGACGUGUCCUGGGUUGACGGUACCGGAGGAAUAAGCACCGGCUAACUUCGUGCCAGCAGCCGCGGUAAUACGAAGGGUGCAAGCGUUAUCCGGAUUCAUUGGGUUUAAAGGGUGCGUAGGCGGAGCGUUACGUCAGUGGUGAAAUCCUGCAGCUUAACUGUAGACUUGCCAUUGAUACUGGCGCGCUUGAGUGCGCUUGAAGUGGGCGGAAUGUGCCGUGUAGCGGUGAAAUGCUUAGAUAUGGCACAGAACACCAAUUGCGAAGGCAGCUCACUAAGGCGAUACUGACGCUGAGGCACGAAAGCGUGGGGAUCGAACAGGAUUAGAAACCCUGGUAGUCC
rnacentral:rRNA from 1 species